UACGUAGGGUGCGAGCGUUGUCCGGAAUUAUUGGGCGUAAAGGGCUCGUAGGCGGUCUGUCACGUCGGGAGUGAAAACACGGGGCUUAACCCCGUGCCUGCUUCCGAUACGGGCAGACUAGAGGUAUGCAGGGGAGAACGGAAUUCCUGGUGUAGCGGUGAAAUGCGCAGAUAUCAGGAGGAACACCGGUGGCGAAGGCGGUUCUCUGGGCAUGAUCUGACGCUGAGGAGCGAAAGUGUGGGGAGCGAACAGG
rnacentral:rRNA from 1 species